rnacentral:rRNA from 1 species
AGAGUUUGAUCCUGGCUCAGGAUGAACGCCAGCGGCAGGCCUAAUACAUGCAAGUCGAACGCGAUUAGAGAGCUUGCUCUUUAUGAAAGUGGCGCACGGGUGCGUAACGCGUAUGCAAUCUACCUUAAUCAGGGGGAUAGCCCGGAGAAAUCCGGAUUAAUACCGCAUAACAUAAUUGAAUGGCAUCAUUUAAUUAUCAAACAUUUAUGGGAUUAAGAUGAGCAUGCGUGACAUUAGUUAGUUGGUAAGGUAACGGCUUACCAAGACUACGAUGUCUAGGGGAUCUGAGAGGAUGACCCCCCACACUGGUACUGAGACACGGACCAGACUCCUACGGGAGGCAGCAGUAAGGAAUAUUGGUCAAUGGGCGGAAGCCUGAACCAGCCAUGCCGCGUGCAGGAAGACGGCCCUAUGGGUUGUAAACUGCUUUUAUUCGGGAAUAAACCUUUCUACGUGUAGGAAGCUGAAUGUACCGAAGGAAUAAGGAUCGGCUAACUCCGUGCCAGCAGCCGCGGUAAUACGGAGGAUCCAAGCGUUAUCCGGAUUUAUUGGGUUUAAAGGGUGCGUAGGCGGCUUUUUAAGUCAGGGGUGAAAGACGGUGGCUCAACCAUCGCAGUGCCCUUGAUACUGAAGAGCUUGAAUACACUAGAGGUAGGCGGAAUGUGACAAGUAGCGGUGAAAUGCAUAGAUAUGUCACAGAACACCAAUUGCGAAGGCAGCUUACUAUGGUGUUAUUGACGCUGAGGCACGAAAGCGUGGGGAUCAGACAGGAUUAGAUACCCUGGUAGUCCACGCCCUAAACGAUGAAUACUCGAUGUUAGCGAUAUACCGUUAGCGUCUAAGCGAAAGCGUUAAGUAUUCCGCCUGGGGAGUACGGUCGCAAGACUGAAACUCAAAGGAAUUGACGGGGACCCGCACAAGCAGUGGAGUAUGUGGUUUAAUUCGAAGCAACGCGAAGAACCUUACCAGGUCUUGACAUCCCUCUGAACAGCCUAGAGAUAGGUUGGGCCUUCGGGACAGAGGAGACAGGUGGUGCAUGGUUGUCGUCAGCUCGUGUCGUGAGAUGUUGGGUUAAGUCCCGCAACGAGCGCAACCCUUAGGACUAGUUGCCAGCACGUCAAGGUGGGCUCUCUAGUACGACUGCCGGUGACAAACCGGAGGAAGGUGGGGAUGACGUCGAAUCAUCAUGCCCCUUAUGACCUGGGCUACACACGUACUACAAUGGCCGGUACAACGGGAAGCGAAGGAGCGAUCUGGAGCCAAUCCUAGAAAAGCCGGUCUCAGUUCGGAUUGCAGGCUGCAACUCGCCUGCAUGAAGUCGGAAUUGCUAGUAAUCGCGGAUCAGCAUGCUGCGGUGAAUACGUUCCCGGGCCUUGUACACACCGCCCA